CAACUGAAAAUACACAAUCAACAACCAAUGAUACUUCAACAAAACUACAAGGUUGGUGGUGGUUUGUUGCAGUUGCAGCUCUCUUAAUAACUGUUGUUAUUGUUGUUGCUCUCAUCAGAUGGAAGAAAACUAAAGGAAAAAAAACCCAGAUGGAUGAAAACACUG